GGAACUGGGGCAGCUGAGGGAGGGGUCAGGAGAUAGAGAUCCAGUCUGUCAGCUAAACAGCUAGGAAGGACCCCAGGAACAGAGAGGACUAGAAGGUUCCAGCGAACAGUGAUGCAUUCUUAAUAGGAUGUGCUUGGAUGUGCAUUAGUCCUUUGCUGUUCACAGAGGAGAGACGUCUGGAGCCCUGAAUAACUGACAGUCCCUGAUAUAAAAUGGCUGCCAUCACACAUGAGGUGACAAAGUCCUUUCAUAUAGGUCUUUGCAUUCCUAACACAUAAAUAGCAUGCAAAUGGUUACAGUUUAGAAGAGGAUGUCCAGAAAAGAUCCGUCCACGUCUUCUAUUUUAAACCUGUAAUUCGUUGCCUCUGUGGAGGUGGAAACUGAAGAUACGCAGGCAGACCAUAGUGCAUCAGUCUGUCAACAGGUCAAUAAAAUGAAUUGGUUGAGUACCAUUAUCCUUAAUCUUGCAGAUGGGGGAAACUGAGGAAAGGCAUGGGUGAUGGAAAGUAGACUUCACAACUGCUUGCUCGCUGGCCCCAUGAUGUCCUGACACCAGAUUCUGGACUCCUGGAGGCUGCAUGUGAAGCCCAGCACGGUCAGUGACAGCUAUGCCUGGUACAAGUGUUGUAUAAAGGAUACCAAGCAUCCACUGGGCUUCCGGGCACCUUCCUUUCAGACUAGAGGUUCUGGGUUCCAACAGCAUACACAGGAGGACAACCAUCAGAGACCAUGGACAGGGCCAGAUCACAUGCCCUGGAAAGACGCUAGGGUCUGGCUGCUGAACUAUCGCUUAUGAAUUUAGAAGGACUUUGACAAACUACUCAACCCUUUACUGUUCAGCAACCUCAUUCAAGAUGUUCUUGAUGAUCAGGCAGGUCGAUGUCUGAUUUGACCUGAUCUCAUUGAUGACUGGUCCCUACUGUGUGGGCCUCAAGCACAGACCAGGCUGCUACUGUGUCUGGCUGCCACAGAGGAGAUGACUGGGAGAGAGUAAAUGACAGAUCUGCUUAUUGCAUGAACACAGGAGCUCUGAGCAGGGUGUCUUGCUCUAGAAUCUGGACUACAGGUCUGAGAGGAGCGUAAGACCCUUUGUCCACCCCCUACUCCUUUAUCUGGGCAUCAGGUACUCAUCUUAUGGGUUAAGUUCUUAUCUAUGGCGUCUCCCAUGCCAUUCAGCCUAACUUGAUUUCACAGUCACGGUGGCCAGUGAGAGAUGCUUGCUGUUUGGGAAGGGAUUUCCAGGUGGCUGCCCUGACCUUGUUCCUGUAACCCAGGAAGACUCCACUUCACCAGGAGCCUUGAGGCCCAGGAUAUCUGGCUGGAGGUCCUAUCUCCAGUUAGUAAUGGUACCAACCUUGACCACUUGAGUGUCUCCAAGGUUCUGGCUUGCCAAAGUAGUGCAGGCUUCUUCUAGUCACGUUGUCCAGGAAACUGGUUUGGGCCUUUUCCUGCCUCUGCUUCUCUCUCACCAAUCAUUUCAGUGGUGUGCCAAGCACUCCCCAGCCACUGUAGCUCUCUCUCUGCCCUGUGAUCUUGCAUUCAUAGCUUUCCUGUGGACAGCCGGGCAGCGGUUAGGAGUUUAAGGCUUACACAGUCCCUAAGGGCUGAGGAAGGCUUCGAAGGAGACAGUAUCCAGUGGUAAGGCCCAGAAGCCAGCAACCAGGUCAGUCAAAGGUCUCAGCACACUCACCAUUGUCUCUGCAUUCUCGGUCUUAUAGUCACUGCUUGUGGCCAUGACUCCCUAAUAAAGGGCUUCACCCAGUGUCAAAG
rnacentral:lncRNA from 1 species